rnacentral:rRNA from 1 species
UACAGAGGUGGCAAGCGUUGUUCGGAAUUACUGGGCGUAAAGGGCGCGUAGGCGGCCUUCUAAGUCAGACGUGAAAUCCCCCGGCUUAACCUGGGAACUGCGUCUGAUACUGGGAGGCUAGAGUGCGGGAGAGGGAUGCGGAAUUCCAGGUGUAGCGGUGAAAUGCGUAGAUAUCUGGAGGAACACCGGUGGCGAAGGCGGCAUCCUGGACCGACACUGACGCUGAGGCGCGAAAGCUAGGGUAGCAAACAGG